rnacentral:lncRNA from 1 species
GGGACUAAGAAUUGAAAAUGGAGGCUAGGAAUAAGGGUUGGGAAUAAGGGACAAGGGUUGGAAAUAGGAGCUAGGAUCAAUAGAUGAGGGCCAAGAACAAGGGCUGAAAACAAGAGAUAAGGGCUGAAAAUGAAGGCUGGAAAUGAAGGCUAGAAAUAAGAAAUGGGGGCUAAGAACAAAGGCUAGGAAUGAGGGACAAGAGUUGAAAACUGAAACAAGGGACAUGAACAUGGACGUGGAAUGAGAGUACAGUGUUGGUUAUGAUUAGUAGAAUCAAUUUAACAAGCUCUUUUAUCUAUUUUUCAUACACAUUUAAAAUUUAAAAUUUU